rnacentral:rRNA from 1 species
GAAUCUUGCGCAAUGGGCGAAAGCCUGACGCAGCGACGCCGCGUGAGGGAGGAAGGCCUUCGGGUUGUAAACCUCUUUUCUGAGAGAAGAAGCUACUCGGGUUAAUAGCCCAGAGGGUGACGGUAUCUCAGGAAUAAGCCCCGGCUAACUACGUGCCAGCAGCCGCGGUAAUACGUAGGGGGCAAGCGUUGUCCGGAUUUACUGGGCGUAAAGAGCGUGUAGGCGGCCAUGCAGGUCCGUUGUGAAAACUGGAGGCUCAACCUCCAGACGUCGACGGAAACCGUGUGGCUAGAGUCUGGAAGAGGAGAGUGGAAUUCCUGGUGUAGCGGUGAAAUGCGCAAAUAUCAGGAAGAACACCAAUGGCGAAGGCAGCUCUCUGGGACGGUACUGACGCUGAGACGCGAAAGCGUGGGGAGCGAACAGG